AUUGAACGCUGGCGGCAGGCUUAACACAUGCAAGUCGAGCGGGGGAAGGUAGCUUGCUACCGGACCUAGCGGCGGACGGGUGAGUAAUGCUUAGGAAUCUGCCUAUUAGUGGGGGACAACAUCUCGAAAGGGAUGCUAAUACCGCAUACGUCCUACGGGAGAAAGCAGGGGAUCUUCGGACCUUGCGCUAAUAGAUGAGCCUAAGUCGGAUUAGCUAGUUGGUGGGGUAAAGGCCUACCAAGGCGACGAUCUGUAGCGGGUCUGAGAGGAUGAGCCGCCACACUGGGACUGAGACGCGGCCCAGACUCCUACGGGAGGCAGCAGUGGGGAAUAUUGGACAAUGGGGGGAACCCUGAUCCAGCCAUGCCGCGUGUGUGAAGAAGGCCUUAUGGUUGUAAAGCACUUUAAGCGAGGAGGAGGCUACUCUAGUUAAUACCUAGGGAUAGUGGACGUUACUCGCAGAAUAAGCACCGGCUAACUCUGUGCCAGCAGCCGCCGCGG
rnacentral:rRNA from 1 species